rnacentral:lncRNA from 1 species
GAGAUUCUCCUUCUUCUUUCUUUCAUCUUUGCCUUCUUGUUCAAAUCUUUACUGCAAUUCUUCUUUCUUGCUUUCGAUUUCUCUCUUUACUAUCUGCAAUGGCUUCCAAAACUUCAUCUCUUACUAUAUCUACUGCUUCUCUUCGUAGUGCUACUAUAUUUUAAGAUCUUCCUUCUACUAUAGCUUUGAUUAUAAAUAGAAGGAGGGGUGAAAGACUUCGUAGUCUAGGUUCCAUUGUAAGUAGAAAUACUUCCUCUUCUAAAGGAAGUUUUUAAAAAUCCCUCUGUUCUACUGGAGCUUUUGCUACUCUUAAAUCAUUCACAAAAUAAAGCAAAAGAUUCCAAUGAACCCUUGCCCAAACCUUUAGUUUCUGAAAUUGUACCCAAGAAUUUUCUUUUUCUUCUGAUUGCGCUAUGUGGAACAAAGAGGUAACCACAAAAGAAGAUCGUAACAAACAUGUUGACCUUUAUCCUUCUUUUAUCAAAUCUGGUCAUCUUCUCCUUGUUCGUAGAGAAUGCCAUAAAAAUCAAAAUUAACCAGUCAUACCUCAUAGUGAGGAUGUUUAGAUAACCAUCCAUCGUCAGGGUUAUUCGAUCGUCUACUCUUAACCUUUCACUCUCGGGUCCAAAAAAGUGAUAGAUCCAAUAAUCACCGGAUUCUAUCAAUAUUUCAAUGGACAAAUAGGUCUGAUAGUUUAGAGGGCAGUAACGUCUCUUCG